rnacentral:tRNA from 1 species
GGAAGGCUACACUAACGGUAAGUGACUAGUUUGCUAAACUAGCGUCCGAAAGGGCUUCGCGGUUCAAGUCCGCGGCCUUCCGCCA